rnacentral:rRNA from 1 species
GACGAACGCUGGCGGCGUGCUUAACACAUGCAAGUCGAACGGAAAGGCCCCCACCUUGGUGGGGGUGCUCGAGUGGCGAACGGGUGAGUAACACGUGGGUGAUCUGCCCUGUACUUCGGGAUAAGCUUGGGAAACUGGGUCUAAUACCGGAUAGGACCAUGGUUUAGUGUCUCAUGGUGGAAAAAUUAUUGUUUUGGUGCAGGAUGAGCUCGCGGCCUAUCAGCUUGUUGGUGGGGUAAUGGCCUACCAAGGCGUCGACGGGUAGCCGGCCGGAGAGGGUGGACGGCCACAUUGGGACUGAGAUACGGCCCAGACGCCUACGGGAGGCAGCAGUGGGGAAUAUUGCACCAUGGGCGCAAGCCUGAUGCAGCGGCGCCGCGUGGGGGAUGACGGCCUUCGGGUUGUAAACUCCUUUCGUUAGGGACGAAGCCACACCUUUUUUGGGUGUGGUGACGGUACCUUUGUUAAGAAGCACCGGCUAACUACGUG